rnacentral:rRNA from 1 species
GCAGUCGAGCGAUGAAGCACCUUCGGGUGUGAAUUAGCGGCGAACGGGUGAGGAACACGUGAAGAAUCUGCCUUCAACUCUGGGAUAACUCCGGGAAACCGGGGCUAAUACCGGAUAUGAGCCUUGAUCGCAUGAUCGGGGCUGGAAAGUUUUUCGGUUGAAGAUGACUUCGCGGCCUAUCAGCUUGUUGGUGAGGUAAUGGCUCACCAAGGCGACGACGGGUAGCCGGCCUGAGAGGGCGACCGGCCACACUGGGACUGAGACACGGCCCAGACUCCUACGGGAGGCAGCAGUGGGGAAUAUUGGGCAAUGGAGGAAACUCUGACCCAGCGACGCCGCGUGAGGGAUGAAGGCCUUCGGGUUGUAAACCUCUUUCAGUAGGGAAGAAGCGAAAGUGACGGUACCUACAGAAGAAGCACCGGCUAACUAUGUGCCAGCAGCCGCGGUAAUACAUAGGGUGCAAGCGUUGUCCGGAAUUAUUGGGCGUAAAGAGCUCGUAGGUGGUUCGAUACGUCGGAUGUGAAAAUCAGGGGCUCAACCCCUGACCUGCAUCCGAUACGGUCGAGCUAGAGUUUGGUAGGGGAGACUGGAAUUCCUGGUGUAGCGGUGGAAUGCGCAGAUAUCAGGAGGAACACCGAUGGCGAAGGCAGGUCUCUGGGCCAAUACUGACACUGAGGAGCGAAAGCGUGGGGAGCGAACAGGAUUAGAUACCCUGGUAGUCCAC